UACGUAGGGGGCAAGCGUUGUCCGGAUUUACUGGGCGUAAAGCGCGCGUAGGCGGGCGCGCCAGUCCGGUGGGAAAGCCCACGGCUCAACCGUGGAAGUUCGCUGGAAACUGCGCUUCUUGAGGGUGAUAGGGGGAAGUGGAAUUGCUGGUGUAGCGGUGAAAUGCGUAGAUAUCAGGAGGAACACCAGUGGCGAAGGCGGCUUUCUGGACGGUAACUGACGCUGAGACGCGAAAGCGUGGGGAGCAAACAGG
rnacentral:rRNA from 1 species